AGUCACAGGAUGUGCACGUAUCUG
rnacentral:piRNA from 1 species